AAAAGUUAGUUCAUUGGUCCAUUAAUAAAAGUUCUUGCAUCAGCACAAAAAAAAAAGACAUAAAAUGGCACUAAUAUUACGGCAGCUCUACAAAUGGCACUAAUUUUUGUGGUGCCAUAAUUAAUUUACACCUGAUGGCGAUUUUUGUGGAUUCAGGCGGUUUUAAAAUGCCAUUACCACAUUGUAUAAAAAAUCCCAACCCUGACUUAACCUUCAUUACACGUUCCACGCGAGACGAUGGCCACUGUGAGAGAACGGUUGAAUCUCUGCCACUCGCGAUCUCAUCUGUUCACAAUCUCCUCCGGCGACGUCUCUUCACACGACUUCUCCUCCUGCGACAUCUCCUCCAGCAACAGUCUCCUCACGGGACGUCUCCUCCAGUAACGGUCUCCUCCGGCGAUGUCUCCUCUAGCAUCAAUUUCCUCCUCAAAAGUUUUCCUAUGCGGCAAUCUCGUCCAUUGAGCUACCGUGUUGCGAGUUUCUCCUCCGAUGGCAGACUCGCAAGGUAGGUUCUUCUCCCUUUUUUCCUUUGUUCUCUUGAAAAUAUUUCAUUCUAAUCGAUUGUCUUAGGCUUGCCUUUAUUGGAUGAAAAAUUUAAUUAAAUUGGUUUAAAUCUUAGCAUAGUAGUCAAAAUAGGUUGCUUACUGUUCUCUUUAUUUUGCUUGCAAUGUUUCUAUUCUUUAGCUGUUUCUUGUUUUGAUUUAGGGGUAGAUAAUGGUUUGAUUGGUUAAUUUGAUGGUGAAUUCUACUUUGCUUUUCUUAUUCCGAGAAGGUAGCGUGUGUGACUUCUUAGUUGCAUGCUCUUGAUUUGUUAUUUUUCUGAUUUUUAAUGGGUUUCGUAUGCAUGUGAAUGGUAAUUAGAUUGUUGUUUCUACCAUUGAUCUGAUAAGCAAUAUGUAUGGGAAGCAGUUGUUGAUAGUAACUCCUAUGUGAUUACACUCUACUUAAAAGCACUUAACAUUGUUUUAGACUUGCUAAUAACCUUGUUGAAAAUCAUUUGGCUCUCUGCGACGAUACCAAGCUUUUUCCCUUGUGCUCCAAGCUCAUCUCUCUCUGCAUCGUCUCACUCUCCUCCUACUCUAUGCUGUUCGCAACAAGUACUUCCAUCCAGAUAAUAUGUCCUCAGAAAAAAGUUGAAAAUUGAACUUGCAAAGGUUAGAGAUGAGUUCAAAAUGUCAGAGUCAAAUCAUGGAUCUGCUCGAGUUCAAGUUGCACAACUCACAACUAAGAUUAAACAUCUAUCAGUUGUUCUACACAAGAAGAUUCAGGUGGGGAUCCUAAAACGUGUUCUUGAAGAAGUUGAAAAAGUGAUAAAUGAGUUCAAGGCAAUGCUUUUAAAAUUACAUUUCAUAUUGGACAUGACACUGGUACAGUUUGCCUCAGUAAAUUUAGAAUAAAACAUGACUAUUCAAAUUGUUAUGUGAGAAAAGACUGAGUCUACCCUGAUAAACAUUAUACAUUCUGGAAGUUGCUGAAAUUCUUGAUAAUACCGUGAGGUUGCUAUUGGAUUUGGAACCAGAGUCUGAUCUAGUCUGACAUUAUUUGAAUAUACAAGUUUGGAAAUUUUGUUCGUACCCAUUGUUUGAAAUAUUUGUCAUUUAUUUUCAUAUUUUGCUACUAGAGUUGUUGUAACUUUGCAUAUAUAUUGUGUAGCUUAUAGCUCCCCUGUCCAAUGUCCCUUUCACUUUUAAUAUUCUCUCUUUUAUAAGCUUCACUUAUUCCUUAAGAACCUUAAGGCUAGUUUGGAUUGUGAAAAUAUUUAUUUUUUCAUUUCUAAUAUUUUUUGUUUUUAAGAUUAUUGUGAAGAAAAUGAAAAGAAUAAAAUUGUGUUUUCUAUUUUUUUUUCACUCACAAAAUCCUGAAAAUAGAAAAUGUUUUCACAAAAAUAAGCCUUUAGUUUUUACUUUGAGAUGGCUGAAUGUGGAGUCCAUUGGGUUCUAUUCCUUUACAGAAUCAGAGAAUCUAAGGUUUGUGUGAGAAGUGUACAUCAGAUCAUGGGGUCAGAAUGGAACAUCUGAAGAAGGAAUUGCAUGAAAAAUGCUCUUUCUGAUGCUAAGUAGAGGAAGAUUCAAGAUGAAUUGGGUGAAUCUUCAGAUAUCAACAGCUCUCCUAUUGUUGGUAAUACCCAAUCUCAUCUGGUAGAUCUAACUGGUGAAGAGGUAAUUGAUGCACUAAGAGGAAAGUAUAUCCGUAGAUUAACUACUGUAAUCAUUCGCCACAUACCAGCCUUCUGAAAGGUUGCACUCUCUGUUUUCAGUGGAAAAUUUGCUAAGAGUUGAAGAAAAAGCUGGAGACGCAAAAUACUCGAGUCGUUCUAUAGAUGAAGUUGCUGCAAUGAUAUGCAGCAUAAUUUCGGUUUAUAGAAACAAGGAGAUGAGUCCGGAUAAUGAAAGUUGGAGUGUCAGAGCAAGAAACAAAGAUGUUGGAACAAGUUCCAAGAAUGGAACUCACACAAGAGACCAAGAAACUAAGACAGGAUAUCAAGGAUAUGAAGAAGAGGUCGAAGAAGAUUGAGAAGAAAACUAGCUCCCUUCAAGAAAUGGAACAUUUAUAAUGAAGACCUUGAUAGAUGUGAAUGAUAGGUAUAAUUGAAACUUCUUAUUGGAUGAAGAUGGUGAUAUCAUACAUAUUGAUCUUGGCUUCAUGCUUUCCAACUCACCUGCUGGUGUUAAUUUUAAAAGUGCGCUUUUCAAGUUAAUCCAAAAGCUUUUUGAGAUUGGGUGCCGGUGGUACAGCUGGGCUGGGGAUGCUGCUAAAGGGGAAGCUACGCGUGAUAAUACAGGAGGGAGAGACGAUAUUGUUGCUUUGGUACAAAGAUAAGGUCUUUGCAAUUGAGAAUCGCUCUCCUGCUAAAAGCACUUACAGUGAGGGUUUGCUCAAUGGGAACUCACUACCAAGCUCUCCCAGGCUAGGCUUCUAUCUUUUUUUUCUUUAUGUUCAUACACUAUUCAAUUAUAUUUAAUUUAGGGCUUUUGCCUAAUUAUAGUAAAUUGCUUAGUAAUUGCUGCUAUUAAAUGUGUGAAGUUGGUUAGCUAUAUUUCUUGAGAAUUUCACUUCAUUAUUUUCACUUGGGAUUGAUUAAUUGUGAAUUAAGAUUUAAAUAUAACUCAAUUCCUUUCGAUGGGCAAAUAAAAGCAAAUCAAAGAAUGAGGUCUGAUUUGAUGAUGAAAUUGUUGUUGAACACGUGUCUAUAUAUCUGAAGUCAAAUAAAAGAUUCAAUUCAUGAUGAAGUUAUUCCAAACCAAUUAAUUCAAAUUAAAUCGGUUACAUAAUUUCUUAGUUUUCCAAACUAAUAAUGGUUUAACUAAUAACAGAAGUAAUGUUAGGUUCUUGUUUCUAGGUUGAAUUGAAUUGAAAUAAGGAUUUUAGCAACGGUAAAAAAUCGUCGCCAUAGAUCGAAAAACCGUUUCUAAAAUUUUAGGCAACGCUUUGGCAACAGUUUUUGACCUAUAGUAUAUGCGGCCAUUGCCAAUACUCAUAGGCAACAGUUUUUUACCUAAGGCAACGGCAACUAAAAAAACCGUUGCCAUAGUUACUGGCAUAGACAACGUUUUGACAAUAAUUUUUAAAGAACGGUUUAGAACCGUUACUGGAUAGACAACGGUUUAAAACCAUAACUGGAUAGGUAACGGUUUUAAGCUGUUGUAGUUUUGUUAUUCACAAAGACAAUAGUUUAAAAACAUUGCCUUUGGUGUUGUUUUUUUCGCAAUGGUUUUAAUACCAUUGCCAUUUUGUAGCUGUCUUUGACAACGAUUUUAACAACAUUGUCUUUGCAACUUUUGACAACGAUAUUUUUGUAGUUAUAUAUUGCUUUAUUUAGAAUAGUUUUCUCAUGUUGCAUUAAAAUUAAUAUUUUAACUAUUUUUUAGUGUCAAUAGAUUAAUAUUCCAACCAUUUGAAUCAAAUCACUAAAAAAAUAAUUGAACAUUUGAUUUAUAACAUAUUCUAUAAGAUUCAUACAUGUUUGUAACCUAUAAAAAAAAGAUUUUAGAAGUCAAAUAAACUUAGAUACUUUAAAAUCACAUAAUAAGAGUCUAAGUCAUAACAAUAUCUAAUCAUAAACAAAAGAGAUUUGAUAUAUUAUAAUAGCAAAUAGACUCCCCAUCAUCUCCACAAAUUGGUGAUUUUUACUCUCUAGUGUUUGAUCUUAUAAUGUGUGAUUAAAUUCUUCCUCACCUUCAUCAUGAUUUUCCUAUGAACAAAAAAAUUAGCAAAUUAAAUAUAAUGCUAAGCCUACUGCUAAUAAUGCUUACUAAUAGAGAGAAUGGACGAGGGAAAGAAAGAUAACUGCUAGUGAUUUUUCUUAUGUAUUUUCUUAUUAAUAGCUAGGUCAUAAUAGCUUAUUAAUUUGGUCAAGCAAAUUAAUAAUCUCAUUUAAAUAUAAUACAAGAAGAAACAAAAUACCAAAGAAAAGACAAGUAAAACCAUCAUUUGAGAUUGUAUAUUAUGUCUAAAGAGGCUACCAUUGACAAUUAUUCUUGUGCUUCAGUUCAGUUGUGUUGAUCAAGUGAUGAAUCCACAUUUUAUGGUAUUUAUUUGUUCUAUUUGGGUGGAUUUUAUCAACUUUUCUUGCACUUAUCCAUUGAAAUAUUUGCACUUAUCCACAUUUCUCUUAUCAACUUUUAUUUGCAUCUUACUAUCCUAUCUUCUAUCUUUCAUGAGUGAUCCACCAUAAACAACAAGGGAAGCGGGAGAAAGGGCAUACAGCAGCCGAUUGAUCCACCAGCUGAAGGUGGAAAUCCGAAGUCGCUACACCCCCUAGUUCACCUUUGAGUGCACGGAGGACCGUACAAACCUUUAAGUGUGGGGAGGUCGUCACCGAUCAACAACCUUGGAUUUCCAAGGCAAGUAUGGGUUGAAGAAGUGAGAAAAAAAGAGCAU